AUUUCAAAUUAAAAACAAAGCUCCCAAAAACUUUUCUUCUCCUUCCCCAAAAGGCCAAAACCAAACUCUGAACGCCAUUCUCCUUCUCCACUCUCUUCUCUAUUUCUCCCCCUCAUCUCUCUACUCUACCCUUUCAGCCUCCUCGAUUUUUUUUUUUUUUUUUUUUUUCAAUUCAAUACACCGUAUCGCAAAGAGGUGAAAAUCAAACCCAAUAAAACCCUAAACCUCUUCAAGAACUGACUACCACCAAAUCUCACCGUUACAGUUUGCUCACUCAAGCCCCAAUAUGUGUAGAGGAAUUCUCUCUGAUUCGCUACCCAAAAGUGAGUGUUGCCCCAAAAUCUCCCGGUUCAAUUUCUCAAGAUGAUUCCACUAGCUUUGAAUCUUUCAGGGAAACACCAUAGAAGAUAAAAUUCUACCUAGGCUUUGUCUCUUGGCGUUUUGAGGAAUGAAAGGAGUUGAUAUUACUAUUUCAAGAAUAAUUCUAUGUUCUUACAUGAAAGCAUCUGUUAGUGGAGAAGGUUUUGAAUUUACUACUUAAUUCAGUUGAAUUUGUGCUGUAUAUUAUGUUUGAUAAUAUUCGUCAGGAAAAUAUAAGGAUUAUCUGUUAUUCAUCCUCUCAACAAAUAUGUAAUCCAUGAAAAUACGUGAUUUUUGUUAUGAUAAGUAGAAAAGCUGGAAGCCCUACUCUGAUUUGGAUACAUUGUCAUUGGCCUCGAUUUUUUAUUUUGUUGUUGCAAAUGAAUUUCUUGUCAAAGUUUGUGUGUACACUGUACAGUACAUGUAUUUUGUAAGACUAAGUCUAAGACC